rnacentral:rRNA from 1 species
CCUACGGGUGGCAGCAGUGGGGAAUAUUGGACAAUGGGCGAAAGCCUGAUCCAGCCAUGCCGCGUGUGUGAAGAAGGCCUUCGGGUUGUAAAGCACUUUCAGUGGGGAAGAAAGCCUUGGGGCUAAUACCCUCGAGGAAGGACAUCACCCACAGAAGAAGCACCGGCUAACUCCGUGCCAGCAGCCGCGGUAAUACGGAGGGUGCGAGCGUUAAUCGGAAUUACUGGGCGUAAAGCGCGCGUAGGCGGUCUGAUAAGCCGGUUGUGAAAGCCCCGGGCUCAACCUGGGAACGGCAUCCGGAACUGUCAGGCUAGAGUGCAGGAGAGGAAGGUAGAAUUCCCGGUGUAGCGGUGAAAUGCGUAGAGAUCGGGAGGAAUACCAGUGGCGAAGGCGGCCUUCUGGACUGACACUGACGCUGAGGUGCGAAAGCGUGGGUAGCAAACAGGAUUAGAUACCCUUGAGUC